AUGGUGGAUGCACCUCUGUGCAAGCAGCGCCGCAAGUACACCAGGGAGCUCCACGACGUCCACCUCCACGGCAAUCACAAGCUCCACGUCCUUUGCACAAGCAAGGGCAAUGACGUGGACAACAUGCUGUCCACGUUCAGGAGGAAGCUUGGCGGAAUGCCCGUCAAACUAGUCGGCGUUGAUGUCGAGUACACACACUACGAGAAGCCACAGCGUGUAGCGGUACUACAGCUAUGCGUAGAAAAAGAAUGUCUUGUCUACCACAUAUCUGCAGCUAAAGACAAGCCAAUGGAACUAGACAAAUUCAUGAUGAAUGAUGAGUACACCUUCGUCGGAUUCUCUAUUGAAGGAGACAAAAGCAAGUUGAAGGUAUCUGGUUUGGAGAUCAACUCCAACAACUACAUUGAUUUUCAGGUUGAAUGGAGAGACCCAUACAAUAAAAAGAAGUUUGACUCUUUGGCUGAUGUUGCUGGCAGGAUGAUAGACAUUCACUACAAUGACAUGAAGAAAAAAAAUUAA
rnacentral:rRNA from 1 species